ACCGCGGAUAGGAACCAUCGAGUGAUCGUGUUUGCUCUGUGGGCCGAUUAACCGCGCAAACUAUAUUUGGUGAUAAUGGUCGCAUUUUAACGAAUGUUACUAGUGCAUUACCACUUCAUCGUACAAUU
rnacentral:snoRNA from 1 species